UUGUCACGACAACAUAAACAAAAUAAAAUAUCUAAGUUGGGGAGUCACCGAAUAGUUCUAUUAUUAUAAUUAAUUAAAAACAAAUUCAAUGUACAUGGAAAUCUCUAAAAAAAAUACAUGACACAGCUGGACAUAGGAGUAUCUUACAACACAUUACAAAGACUAAAAUUAAUUAAUAAUAACAAACCAUAAAUAAUAUAUAUAUUUAAAAAAAACACUAUAAUCUUGGCUUCCCAUAAGCUUGUCGGCAAAUCCAAGUAGCUUUUUGCGACUUUGAACAAAGCGAAGAACUCGCAGGACAAUACUUUAGACAAUUGUCUCCUAAAUUUCCGGCCAAAACUUCCGUCUUGCCGGAAAUCAAGUCCGACGGCGGCGACCCAUUUAAGUAAUUCCCAUCCAGAAAUAAUCUUCUGAGCCUUUGUUUCUUGCUGUAUUCCAGUGGGAUUGGUCCCCGUAGCCGAUUGUAACUCAAUGUGAGUGACGAAAGCAUGGGAUAUAAUAAAAAAUUAACCGGUAAAUUACCUUGUAUUUUGUUGAAUCCUAGAUCAACGGCUACGAGGUUGCUUUCUGGGUUCUGAGGUUUGGAGAUCACGACACCUGUAAAUUUAUUUUUGGAAAGGUUCACUUGUUGUAAUGAAGGUAAGUUGAAGAACCAUGGUUGCAAAACUCCUACUAGCGAGUUCUCGCUGAGUUCAACGGUGUCUAACCGAGUUGACUCAGUGAAUGAGGUUUGGUAGAGAAACCCGGAUAGCGAGUUGGCUUUGAUGGCAAUUUGGUAGAGGUUUGGGGGUAGUUUCGGUAUUGACCCAGUGAGUUUGUUGUAACUCAAGUCUAAACGAGUCAGACUCGUCGCCGAGUUCAACGUGUUUGGUAGUGAUCCUGAGAGAGAAUUAUGAGACAAGUCUAGUGAUUCUAGUUUCUUGAGCGCGAAGACUGAUGGUGGGACCCAGCCGGAGAACGAGUUGAAUCGGAGAGAGAGUAUUUGGAGAUUCGCGAGAGAGGAGAGAGAGGGUGGGAUUGGGCCGAAGAAAUUGUUCUCCGAGAUGUCGAGGUGAGUCAGCUCAGUGAGUUUGGAGAUGAGUGGGGAGAGAGUGCCUGAGUAACCCGCCGGGUCGAGAGUGAGUUGAGUCACGCGCGAGUUGUAGCAAGUAAGACCGCAAAUGAAGUGAGUGGUGUGGGGAAAAGAGCAAGGGUGAGAAGUGAAGUUCCAGGAAGCUAAGCAUGAGUAAGAUGGGAUUGUGGAGGGUUUGAUGGAGGAUUUGAAUGCCCGGAGAGCUGAAAUCUCGUCGGAGAGGGGGUCGCCGGCGGUGGUUGAAAUGAUGGCGGAGAGAGAGAGCAGGAAGAUGAAGAAGAUUGACAUUGGUUAAAGGUUAGAGAGAGAUGUUAAGCAGGAGUAGUAGUUUUUGUUGGUUAAAUAGAUUUUGGUGACAUAAGAGACUGUUGGCUUUAAUCUAUUUAUACUCGCACUGCAGCAGUACAUGGAGCUGUGUUUUGUAUAAGUUGGUGGCCUAUACUUUCUGUCAUCCUUUGUGUUAGGGAGAACACAGCUUGUUUAAGCAGCCUUAAUAAUGUCUUUGAUCAAGUUUGUACGAUGUAUAUAUUUUCAACAACUUACUCUGAUAGUAAUUCAUACCCACAGUAUCAAA